rnacentral:rRNA from 1 species
UACGAGGGGGGCUAGUGUUGUUCGGAUUUACUGGGCGUAAAGCGCACGUAGGCGGUUUGUUAAGUCAGGGGUGAAAUCCCGGAGCUCAACUCCGGAACUGCCUUUGAUACUGGCAAGCUAGAGUCCGGAAGAGGUAAGUGGAACUCCUAGUGUAGAGGUGGAAUUCGUAGAUAUUAGGAAGAACACCAGUGGCGAAGACGGCUUACUGGUCCGGAACUGACGCUGAGGUGCGAAAGCGUGGGGAGCAAACAGG